rnacentral:rRNA from 1 species
GUUUAAUUCGAUGCAACGCGAAAAACCUUACCUACCCUUGACAUGCCAGGAACUUGCCAGAGAUGGCUUGGUGCUCGAAAGAGAACCUGGACACAGGUGCUGCAUGGCUGUCGUCAGCUCGUGUCGUGAGAUGUUGGGUUAAGUCCCGCAACGAGCGCAACCCUUGUCAUUAGUUGCUACGAAAGGGCACUCUAAUGAGACUGCCGGUGACAAACCGGAGGAAGGUGGGGAUGACGUCAAGUCCUCAUGGCCCUUAUGGGUAGGGCUACACACGUCAUACAAUGGCCGGUACAGAGGGUUGCCAACCCGCGAGGGGGAGCCAAUCCCAGAAAACCGGUCGUAGUCCGGAUCGUAGUCUGCAACUCGACUGCGUGAAGUCGGAAUCGCUAGUAAUCGCGGAUCAGCUUGCCGCGGUGAAUACGUUCCCGGGUCUUGUACACACCGCCCGUCACACCAUGGGAGCGGGUUCUGCCAGAAGUGGUUAGCCUAACCGAAAGGAGGGCGAUUACCACGGCAGGGUUCGUGACUGGGGUG